AGGCGAGCCGAGGCGAGCGGGGGACAGCGGCAGGACGCUGGACCUCGGUCACUCAGCGAGCUGCAGCGGCGAGAGAGGGUCUGCCUCGGCGACCCGACCCAAGCACCUGCUAUGGUUUUAGUUUACAUCUGUGCGCUACCCGCACAUAGUGCUUGGGUCUAAGUUUCCCGUCUUAUGACGGUGUGUGCCUUCGGGUCUAUUUCCCUAUGAGAUUAUUCGCCGUGAUGGCGUGUUCGCUUUGAGUCAACCGAUGUAGAACUAGGUUCUCAUUCUCACCGGCGGUCCGCCCCGUGAAGUCACAAGCAGUCUGACGUUUGUCGAUCUUUGCCGCCCGCCCCGCUGGGGCCGGGUCGGCUUGUUUUGUUGUGAAGCUCUCCUCUCCAUCGCCGCAUCGCUAAACACGUGUAAUGGUGAAAUUCACUGGGUUAUAAUUGCUGCAGAAGUCACAACCUCUUACUUGUGGCUGUACAAUUCACUCUUCAGCCCAGGUAGCUUGCUGUCUCAAUUUGAAAAGAAAUUCUUAAUUGCUGUUGCCCUUUUUUUGAGAAAUCUAUUUCCAGAAAUCAAGUAUUGGACUCCCAAGCGUUAUUUCGAUGAGCAGAAAGAUACUGUUAGUUGUGGAGUGCAUAUUUGCUGGUUUGCACAUAGUGUUAUCAAAAAUUCUAGUUUGGUCCCUUUACAAGAUGUAACAGAAUUUAAAAAACACAUAUAUGACUGUAUAGUACUUCUAAAAGAUUUGUAAUAAGCGUGUUCCUCACUUCACAAAUAUUUAUGUUGAAGAAUUAAUUAUCAUACUUUUAUAUGUCUUUCAAAUUUUUGUUCUUUGAUUAUUUUAGUUGGUUUUGUUUGGUAGUCUAUUGAAAUUUUAUUAAACCCCUAAAAAACUUGUUUGUGGGCAUGAAUUCUGUUUGUUCAGUUUUACCUAAUGCUAAUUUUUAACCAGGGGGAUGAGAUCUUCAGAUUAGUCUUUCAAUCAUGCCCUCAUUUUAAUGACAGUGUAAGGCAUCCUAAAAUUCUUGUUUAAUCGACAUUUCAGUGGUCUUUAUUAAAUAAGUUACUAUUUUACAUCUUCCAAUAAAACAGUCUUUACUCGACAA